rnacentral:lncRNA from 1 species
AUGCCAGAAAUAGAUCGGCAAGAGCACAACUGCUCGAAUUCUCUAAGGUGGGUGUAUGGAUCUUCAUCUACUUGCCUAGAGAAGGGUUGCUCCUGAAUCAUGGCUAUUAGAUCAGGGCCGAGGUCGUAGCCAUCUGUAAGAAUUGGAUGUGAUGAUGGUGGUGGCUCUAAUAACUCGCCCUUUGGAGCAAAGAAUUUAUAGAUAGGAGUGAAAUCCAUGUGGUAUGAUGAAAAUGGUAAAGUGAGUGUGGUAAAAAAAGGAAAAGAAAAAGGAUACAUGGAUGACUUGGUUCGAAACUAGCACAGCUACUGUUCCCCGGCAACGGCGCCAGAACGCUUGUUGGGUAUUUUAAACGCAAACAGAAAAAUCCGCAAGCGCAC